CUAGGAGCAGGAGUGGAGGGAGGGAAAAUUUCGCGCCAACGCGACACCCAAUCAGCGACGACACUGUGUCGCGCGAUCACUUCUCGCUGAACGGUCGUACAGUCAAGACCUGCGUCACGCAGCUCCGCGAAACUCCAACGUUUUUCUCCGUUGCUCCGUCGUUGAUGGCAGUCUGGAAGGGCUUACGAGGCACGGACACAUUUCAGACACUGGUCCAGCACGGCGUCAGGCGCUACUGCACAGCACCCUGGAACGAGUCGUGGCGACCUUGACAGCGCCACGGGAGGGGACAUGGUGGCGGGGCGGCGAACCGUCUCACGGCCACCUGCCGCGAGAUCCCAGCUGUCGGCUGCACAGCUACAGGGCGGCGUAAUCCACACCACUCUCAGCUGGCGGGAGGCGGCGUCUCGGCGAAACAGUGCCUGCUGACGGCGACGGCGGUGUUCCUGGUUCGACAUCGGGACGUUUCACGACUAGCGUGGGACGUCGGAGUUGGGUCCUUACAUAGUCGUUGCGUAUGCGGUUAGUUCAAACACACUUUCAAGGCGCACUUACACGGGCGUCCUUAACUAUAGCUCGGGCGUAACUCGCAAAUUUCACUUCUUCAAAACAACAAUGUCCUAUCUGUGCUUUCCAGUCGUAGCCUCGGGUCAC